GUUGUUGCUGGCCCUUUCGGGGGCAUGUGCACACCCACCAUCCUCAUCUCUCCACCUGUGCACCUCUUGUAGACCUGAAUUGACUUUCCGAGGCAACUCGGUCGGGAAGAUUGCUGUGCUCUGUGAGCCAGCUUUCUUUGCAUGUCUAGGCCUAUGUUUUUCAUAUACCCCUAUAGAAUGUAACAGAAUGUAUCAUUGGGCCUUGUGCCUAUAAACCUUAUACAACUUUCAGCAACGGAUCUCUUGGCUCUCGCAUCGAUGAAGAACGCAGCGAAAUGCGAUAAGUAAUGUGAAUUGCAGAAUUCAGUGAAUCAUCGAAUCUUUGAACGCACCUUGCGCUCCUUGGUAUUCCGAGGAGCAUGCCUGUUUGAGUGUCAUUAAAUUCUCAACCUUAUUAACUUUUGUUGAUAAUGGAUUGGAUUGUGGGGGUUUCUUUUGCUGGAUUCUUCACAGAGAUCAGCUCCCCUUAAAUGCAUUAGCUGGUGCCCCGCGUGGACCAUCUAUUGGUGUGAUAAUUAUCUACGCCGUGGAUGUCUGCAAUCAUAUGGGUUUUGCACUGCUUCUAACCGUCUGUUCAUUCGGACAAUACAUGACAAUUUGACCUCAAAUCAGGUAGGACUACCCGCUGAACUUAAGCAUAUCAAUAAGCGGAGGAAAAGAAACUAACAAGGAUUCCCCUAGUAACUGCGAGUGAAGCGGGAAAAGCUCAAAUUUAAAAUCUGGCGGUCUCCGGCCGUCC
rnacentral:rRNA from 1 species